GCUAACUUGAAAGCUCAACUAGAUAGAAGGUAGCUGUUUUUGGCGAAUUUAUUCAGAUGUAUAAGACCUAUACCUAGUGGAUAGUGCACACUUUCGAAACAGCUGGGAUUUAUUUGAAGUUAACAAGCGAUGCCUAUAGAUCCUAUUCUCUCAGAAAGAUUCGGAUGACAACUACCACCUGAAGCCGAUAUGCACUUUCAUUUAUGUAUUGGAGGUAAGAUUUAGUGAAAUUUGACGUAUUCAGCUCCUGCUGGAAAUGAAGGUAAAGUAUCUCAAAAUAUUGAAAAUUGUAUUGCUUCUUCUAAUCGUCCGUUUUUCUAUUGCAGACCUUUACCUAUGCAGCUGAACUGGGUGCCGAACUCUUAAUUGAACAUACAUUUGAACUUUAUCUAGUCAGUUUAUGGAAAUCUCUAUCCUACCACCCAACCGGCUUAAAAUGAAUUUACACCGUUUAUUAAUGGACUGUAUUUUUCUCUUUCGAAAUAAACCAAAAUCCACCACAAAUAGGGCGUCUUCAUCUUCAACAUCAUACAGUGGACCCCCGUCAAGUACCUCGGCUAUUCGUAUCCUCUGUGGGCGCACGCUUUCGGUUGGUUCACCGCCCUGUCCUCGAUGUUGUGCAUCCCCGGUUACAUGAUCUGGCUGUGGAGAAACACCCCCGGCGACCGAGCUAACAAAAUCCGACUGAUCGUCAGAAUCGAUGAGAGCGUCGCCGAGCUGCGAGAAAAGAUGCACUCCACCCACGAAAAGGGCAUGGAGCUGUAAGGGCUCUCCGUGUUACCAACCCAAAUAUCCCGUUCUGCGAUCCGACUAGGCUUAAGCAACAUCCUCCAAACGACGACAUGCGACGAUGCGCGAGCGAAUGAAAGUACAGAAUCAUCCUAUGUUUAAAAACCAAAAUCUAAUAUAACUAACAACUAACGGUUCCAGUGCCUUUUUUUUUCAUUUCCCAUAUACACUGACUUCUUCUCAUCCAGUUUCGGUCCAUAGCGUAAUGUGACGAUUUAAGUAUAUGAAUAUAAAUGAAGUAUUUACUAAUGGAUUUAAAGUUAAUAUUGGAAGAGAGAUUUAAUUUAUUUAGUAAUUUUAAUUUACUAACCAAUAGAAGACAGUCACCCCCGGCUAAAGGAGGUGACGGAAAGAAGGGAAAACAAUGCGCACGUACACAUACACACACAUACAUUCAACCACCCAAACACAAACGCACUUGCAUACAUAAAGCUAUACUAUUAUAUACGAUUAAUGCACACGCACGGCGCGCUAGUUUGACUAAAUAUAACUACCAUUCGAUUGUAAAUCGUUGUGUUAAAACCUAGGGCCAGUAAGACACAUGCAAAAAACUACAUAUUAAAUAGGAUUCGAUGGAAGCUGCUACUCAGAUCCCUACCGCCCCCAUCCCAACUACACACUUGCUGUGUUGGUUUUCGGUAGGCUUAAUUGUUAAGAUGCGUAUUUAAGUGUGUAAAACAAAACCAAAAAGAAAAACGACAGUAUGUAGCAGUUUCAGCUCCCUUUCAGAAACAAAAGAAACGCAAACAUUUUGAUUCCUUACUGAGCACGACACUGGACAAAUACGGCGGACGAAUUCCGAAUUCCGAAGCUGUACAUCAGAGAAAAGUAGACGAAAGUGCACGCAGAGAACGACGAAGCAGAGAAACUGGAACCCAAUGUAUUUAAAACAGUACUAAUCAGUAACGAAUAGAAAAUGUGAUUUGUAAGAA